GGGUUAACCAUUGCAUCAGAGGCCAAAAUCGAUGCAAUCCCCAAGUGGACUCAGUAAAAAUCAGCAAGAAAAACAAUUUAGCACACAGUGCAGUUUUGGAGUUUUAAACAGUUCCAGCAUUAAGCAUGGCUUUUAAUGCCAGAGGCACAAAUCAAAACAAAUAAAUGCACAGGCGUCUCAAGGGGAGAAAAACAUACUGCAAGAAGUGACUAAUUCACUUUUUGCCAAUAGUUUCUGUUUGGGGCGAUGCUUACAUAAAUAUUCCAGAAAUGGAACAAUACACUUCUAGGAAAAUAGAAGUGAGGCAAAUCUUCAAAAUUCUCACCUAGAUUGUUGCUAUUCAAAGAGGGGUCCAA
rnacentral:lncRNA from 1 species